rnacentral:piRNA from 1 species
UGGUAGGAAUAUAAGGGCAGAGUC